rnacentral:lncRNA from 1 species
CACUGACCUGAUGCUGCACAGAGACCAAGAUAACUAUGAGAGGAAUUUAACUUAUAGUUCAACUUGCAGACAAGGGAAACUGACCCUCCUUCUUGUCCAGAGAUUGAAGCCACAUUCAUAAGAGGCUGGAGUGCAGUGGCAUGAUCUCAGCUGACUACAACCUCCACCUCCCGGGUUCAAGUUAUCCUCCCACCUCACCCUCCCAAGUAGCUGGGACUGCAGGGCCCAGCAUGUCUCUGCAGGAAGGCAGGGCAUCCCACGAUAUCACCAGCUCCUCUAGGAGUAUAGGAGCCAAGGAGCUGCUGAGACCUGCUGAUCACCCACUCACUCCC